rnacentral:rRNA from 1 species
AUACGGAGGACGCGAGCGUUAUCCGGAUUCAUUGGGUUUAAAGGGUGCGCAGGCGGCCGUGCAAGUCAGCGGUGAAAGCCCGGGGCUCAACCCCGGAAGUGCCGUUGAUACUGCAUGGCUGGAAUGCGGUCGAGGCGGGCGGAACGUGGCGUGUAGCGGGGAAAUGCGUUGAUAUGCCACAGAACGCCGAUAGCGGAGGCAGCUCGCCAGGCCUGCAUUGACGCUCGGGCACGAAAGCGUGGGGAUCGAACAGGAUUAGAUACCCUGGUAGUCCACGCCGUAAACGAUGGGCGCUCGUCGUCGGCGGCAGACAGUCGGCGGCCAAGCGAAAGCGAUAAGCGCCCCACCUGGGGAGUACGGUCGCAAGGCUGAAACUCAAAUGAAUUGGCGGGG